UACGGAGGGUGCAAGCGUUGUCCGGAAUCACUGGGCGUAAAGGGCGCGUAGGCGGCUCAUGAAGGCUGUGGUGAAAGUCCGGGGCUCAACCUCGGAUCGGCCGUGGCGACUCGUGGGCUGGAGCACUGUAGAGGCGGGUGGAAUUCCGGGUGUAGCGGUGGAAUGCGUAGAGAUCGGGAGGAACACCUGUGGCGAAGGCGGCGAUCUGGGAAGAUACUGACGCUGAGGUGCGAAAGCGUGGGGAGCAAACAGG
rnacentral:rRNA from 1 species